GCUUGUCUCAAAGAUUAAGCCAUGCAUGUCUUAGUGUAAAUAACUCUUAUGAAACUGCGAAUGGCUCAUUAAAUCAGUUAUCGUUUAUUUGAUGGUCCCUUACUACAUGGAUAACCGUAGUAAUUCUAGAGCUAAUACGUGCGUAAAUCCCGACUUCUGGAAGGGACGUAUUUAUUAGAUAAAAGGCCGACCGGGCUCUGCCCGACUCGCGGUGAAUCAUGAUAACUUCACGAAUCGCACGGCCUCGUGCCGGCGAUGUUUCAUUCAAAUUUCUGCCCUAUCAACUUUCGAUGGUAAGGUAUUGGCUUACCAUGGUUGCAACGGGUAACGGAGAAUUAGGGUUCGAUUCCGGAGAGGGCGCCUGAGAAAUGGCGACCACAUCCAAGGAAGGCAGCAGG
rnacentral:rRNA from 1 species